AAUAUUAUCACAGUUUCUCUGUUUUUUAAGUUACGAUCUUCUAAUUUAAGUAUAGUUCAUUGUACAAUGCCUUGACUGUAAGACAAGUUUAUUAUUGCCUUGAAGUCCUAAGAUGUGCGCCCCACAGGAGGCAAUUAAUGCAGCUCUGAAGCCUGGAGGGUAAUCAGGCUUCCAAGAAACAUCUUCAAUUCAUAGUCAGCAAAG